CACAGAUGACAAGCGCGGCCUGUUCUGCGCUUGUAAUGUGGCCUUUUGCCCGUUCAAAGCCGGG
rnacentral:ribozyme from 1 species